AUUGAACGCUGGCGGCAGGCCUAACACAUGCAAGUCGAGCGGAGCGGGGGACGGAUGAGUAAUGCCUAGGAAUCUGCCUGGUAGAGGGGGCUAACGUCCGGAAACGGGCGCUAAUACCGCAUACUAUCAGAUGAGCCUCGGUCGGAGUAGCUAGUUGGUGUGGUAAAGGCCUACCAAGGCGACGAUCCGUAACUGGUCUGAGAGGAUGAUCAGUCACACUGGAACUGAGAAACGGUCCAGACUCCGACGGGAGGCAGCAGUGGGGAAUAUUGGACAAUGGGCGAAAGCCUGAUCCAGCCAUGCCGCGUGUGGGAAGAAGGUCUUCGGAUUGUAAAGCACUUUAAGUUGGGAGGCGUUACCAACAGAAUAAGCACCGGCUAACUUCGUGCCAGCAGCCGCGGUAAUAC
rnacentral:rRNA from 1 species